rnacentral:rRNA from 1 species
AUUGAACGCUGGCGGCAGGCCUAACACAUGCAAGUCGAACGGUAGCACAGAGAGCUUGCUCUCGGGUGACGAGUGGCGGACGGGUGAGUAAUGUCUGGGAAACUGCCUGAUGGAGGGGGAUAACUACUGGAAACGGUAGCUAAUACCGCAUAACGUCGCAAGACCAAAGAGGGGGACCUUCGGGCCUCUUGCCAUCAGAUGUGCCCAGAUGGGAUUAGCUAGUAGGUGGGGUAACGGCUCACCUAGGCGACGAUCCCUAGCUGGUCUGAGAGGAUGACCAGCCACACUGGAACUGAGACACGGUCCAGACUCCUACGGGAGGCAGCAGUGGGGAAUAUUGCACAAUGGGCGCAAGCCUGAUGCAGCCAUGCCGCGUGUAUGAAGAAGGCCUUCGGGUUGUAAAGUACUUUCAGCGGGGAGGAAGGUGUUGUGGUUAAUAACCGCAGCAAUUGACGUUACCUGCAGAAGAAGCACCGGCUAACUCCGUGCCAGCAGCCGCGGUAAUACGGAGGGUGCAAGCGUUAAUCGGAAUUACUGGGCGUAAAGCGCACGCAGGCGGUCUGUCAAGUCGGAUGUGAAAUCCCCGGGCUCAACCUGGGAACUGCAUUCGAAACUGGCAGGCUAGAGUCUUGUAGAGGGGGGUAGAAUUCCAGGUGUAGCGGUGAAAUGCGUAGAGAUCUGGAGGAAUACCGGUGGCGAAGGCGGCCCCCUGGACAAAGACUGACGCUCAGGUGCGAAAGCGUGGGGAGCAAACAGGAUUAGAUACCCUGGUAGUCCACGCCGUAAACGAUGUCGACUUGGAGGUUGUGCCCUUGAGGCGUGGCUUCCGGAGCUAACGCGUUAAGUCGACCGCCUGGGGAGUACGGCCGCAAGGUUAAAACUCAAAUGAAUUGACGGGGGCCCGCACAAGCGGUGGAGCAUGUGGUUUAAUUCGAUGCAACGCGAAGAACCUUACCUACUCUUGACAUCCAGAGAACUUUCCAGAGAUGGAUUGGUGCCUUCGGGAACUCUGAGACAGGUGCUGCAUGGCUGUCGUCAGCUCGUGUUGUGAAAUGUUGGGUUAAGUCCCGCAACGAGCGCAACCCUUAUCCUUUGUUGCCAGCGGUCCGGCCGGGAACUCAGAGGAGACUGCCAGUGAUAAACUGGAGGAAGGUGGGGAUGACGUCAAGUCAUCAUGCCCCUUACGAGUAGGGCUACACACGUGCUACAAUGGCGCAUACAAAGAGAAGCGACCUCGCGAGAGCAAGCGGACCUCAUAAAGUGCGUCGUAGUCUGGAUUGGAGUCAGCAACUCGACUCCAUGAAGUGGGAAUCGCUAGUAAUCGUAGAUCAGAAUGCUACGGGGAAUACGUUCCGGGGCUUU